rnacentral:rRNA from 1 species
ACGUAGGUGGCGAGCGUUAUCCGGAUUCAUUGGGCGUAAAGAGCUUGUAGGCGGCGACAUAAGUUGGACGUGAAAACUCCGGGCUUAACUUGGAGAGGCCGUUCAAUACUGUGGCGCUGGAGGGUGUCAGAGGGAAGUAGAAUUCCCGGUGUAGCGGUGAAAUGCGUAGAGAUCGGGAGGAAGGCCGGUGGCGAAGGCGGCGCUCUGGAACGUAUCUGACGCUGAGACACGAAAGCGUGGGGAGCAAACAGGA